CACCGUGACUGGUGCCAUGGAAAGCCUUAGGAGGAGAGAGGAGUGGAGGAAGGUUCAGUUAGGAGUUCAGUUAGGGUUCAGUUUCUCUACUGAGGUGAUCUGAGGCCCAGAGAAGAUGAGGCUUGUCCAAGGCCACACAGGAAGCACACCUCAGGCACACCUGGGCCAGAGCAGCCUCUAAGCUGCUCUGCACCUUGCCCUGCAAGGGACCAUUACUGCUUAUCCCCAUUAUCCAGAGGGGUAACCUGAGGCUCAGGGAGAUUCAGUGACUUGACCAAGGUCACAAAGGUCAGAGGUGGGUGGGUUGAUUCCAAAUCACAGGAGCCUUGCCUGGGACCCUACUUCAGGACCUCAUGCCCUACCCAGGCCCUUCCUGCCCCAUGGGGUCCUCGCCUCUUGGAUCUGCCUGGGCUGCCCCAGACCCCUCCCUCUGGCCUCCCUGGCUCCCAGCUCUGCCUGACACUCGGUGGUGGGCAGGCUGUUACCCUGGGAGCAGAGACAACAGAGCCCUGUUCCCAGCUGCCACCUCAAGCUUACUUGAUUCCUUGCUUCUUGCUCAGGCACAUGUAGACAAAGAAUGCCUGCCUUCCCUUUCCCUCACUGUCCUCUAGUCAUCCAGCAUGAAAGAACUGUGUCCCAUAUAGCUCCUGCUGGGCUCUGAGGGACUGAGUGUGCCACCAGUGAGGGAGGCAAUGAUUAACCUGGGGAACGAUGCUCAAAUAGUUUCCUGGCCCUGGUCAUAGGCUAUGGAAGGACUUCUUGCUUUGCUCUGAUGGAGGAAUAUGGGUGACCCUUUUUAGGAGCCCCACACUACUCCAGACAGAGGUGCUUGUGAAGUCUCCUGACGGGGGACUGAUGGAAUCACCAGGUAAGUGGUAAUGAAACUAAAUCCCUGGCCUCCAUGUGGCUGUUCUAAGGCAGAGUUAAGGUCCCCAGCAAUAUCCCUCCCUGCUGUGGCACCUGGGGUUAGUCUAUUCCCAUCUGUGCCUGAGUUUUGUUGGAUGUAGAAUAUGAGAAUUGGGCAGCCUGAGUCUGAAGCGUGGGAAGAUGGCCUUCCAGGUGUCUGCACUGACAGAUCCUGCUUCCUCUGCCAGGUGGGAUCUAGAAAGAUCCAGAAGGAUCAUGAUAAUAACCAGAUGUGCCAACACUGUAUGCCAGGCAUACAAAGGCAAAGGGCUCUGCGUACCUCACGCCAUGGUUUCUCCCAGCAAGACUAAGAGCAUGGCUGUACCUCCAUUUUUUUAGGCGACUGGGGCUCAAGUAGGAGAAGUCACUUGCCCAAGGUCACCCAGCUUGGAAAUGGAGGUGGAUUUGUAGUCCACGUAACUCAGAAAGUCCAACAAUAGAGAGGAAGUGGGUGUGCAUCAUGUAUAACAAGUGUUGAGCACCCUUUGCAAAACCUAUUAUAUGUCCUCGUGUAAAUGAGUGCAUAGUCAUCCUUUAAAAAAUAUUUCAGACAUUUUAAAUAGAGAAUGAAACUACAACUCCUAUACAACUCCUACAACUCGUCCCUGGAGUUCUCAGUAUUUUGGGAGCUAAUAAAGACAAAAGUGUUGGCUCUGUGAUCACCACUCAACCCCCUUUAGAGCUGCUUUGGGACCACUCAGAUCUGCCAUGAGGAACGGUGACUUUUACCUGGUCAAGGCAGUAUAGCAGAAAGAGCUUGCUCUUAGUUCUGGCUUUGUCAUUUGGUGCUUUCACAAGUUACUGAGCCUCAGUUUCCCCAUCUGUCACAUGGGGCCAGCAAACUGCCCUGGGAGGGUCUGUUGGUCAUAGGUGUGAGUCAUAGGUGUGCUCUUCUAAGAACAUUGCAUUCUCUCAGUGGCCCCGGUACCCCUUGGCAUCCAUGCCUCCAGCCAAAAGACCAGAGAGUAGGAGCGAGAUGUCAGGCUGACAGUUUGGAGGUGGGCCAGUAAGCUGAAACUCUGCUGAGCAGUCCUCCCAUCUCUGCUCCAGCACCACACCCCAGAGGGGCUCAGAGGGAAGAAGCUUCUAGGUUCUUGCAAGUCACUCCUGGAGGGUGGCGCAGCCUCUCCCAUCUGCUCUCAGCUAUGCAGCCCUCACUCACUUCCUAGC
ensembl:lncRNA